rnacentral:lncRNA from 1 species
CCAGGGCUAGCUAUUCUUAUAUCAGACAAAACAAGCUUUAAACCAACAGCAGUUAGAAAAGACAAUCUCAGUGCAAAGACCCUGUUUUCUUCCCAUUGGAGGCAGAUAUACUGGUGGGGCUGGCCAGGUGCCCUAUGACCACUUAAGCAAUACAGGGAAGUUCACUGUGUACACAGAGCAGAGAAAAUGUUUCUCCUAAUAACGAAGAAGAGCCUGAGGUGAAGCGACGGACCAGCACCCUGCUUCCAUAUAAAGGAAUGUCUAGGUCCAGGGUACUGAUUGGGUAAUCUUGAAGAGGGGCAGCAGGUUAGGUGAUGGCUGCUUCCCCUAU